UNGACAGUUGCUGGGUACAUUUAGGUUUGGU
rnacentral:piRNA from 1 species